GCGCUUAUGUCUGCGCAGUGCUGUUUUCCUGCUCUGGGAGAGAAGGGAGCUCGACCGCCUGGAGUAGGCCGGGAUGUAGAGAAAAGGAGAUGGCGCCUGGGACGAGGGACUGCCAUUUCUUCAAUGCUGGUGUCUGAAGAAUGAUUUCAUGGGAGAAAAGCAAAUUUCCAACACGUGCACCAACAACUUCCAUAUGUUUGGGGACAGUGAAUAAGUAGCAAGUCAUUCUGUUAACCAACUCCAAUCAAGAUUCUAAAAUCAGGCAUGAAAAAGUUACAGUUAGAUGUUGACUAUAAACAGUAGGUUUAGGGGUGUUACUUUUUGCAAGUUUUCUGUGUGUUUGGACAUUUUAUAAUCAAAAGUUGAAAAAUCGAAAGUAUAAGUUACAAUUAGAAAGUUUAGUUUUACCUUCUUUCCUGGUGAUUAAUAAAAUAUUUCAAAGAGUUUUCAUAAAUAUUUGAAGUAAAUAAUUAGUGAAAGGAAAUUCAAACAGUUGACCUUGAGACUAACUGUAGUAAAGUUAAUUCAGUAAA